GACGAACGCUGGCGGCGUGCCUAAUACAUGCAAGUAGAACGCUGAAGGAGGAGCUUGCUUCUCUGGAUGAGUUGCGAACGGGUGAGUAACGCGUAGGUAACCUGCCUGGUAGCGGGGGAUAACUAUUGGAAACGAUAGCUAAUACCGCAUAAGAGUAGAUGUCGCAUGACAUUUGCUUAAAAGGUGCAAUUGCAUCACUACCAGAUGGACCUGCGUUGUAUUAGCUAGUUGGUGAGGUAACGGCUCACCAAGGCAACGAUACAUAGCCGACCUGAGAGGGUGAUCGGCCGCACUGGGACUGAGACACGGCCCAGCUUCCUACGGGAGGCAGCAUGAGGGAAUCUUCGGCAAUGGACGGAAGUCUGACCGAGCAACGCCGCGUGAGUGAAGAAGGUUUUCGGAUCGUAAAGCUCUGUUGUAAGAGAAGAACGAGUGUGAGAGUGGAAAGUUCACACUGUGACGGUAUCUUACCAGAAAGGGACGGCUAACUACG
rnacentral:rRNA from 1 species